AUACGUAGGGGGCGAGCGUUGUCCGAAUUUACUGGGCGUAAAGCGCGUGUAGGCGGUUCUUUAAGUCAGAUGUGAAAUCCUGUGGCUCAACCACAGAACUGCAUUUGAAACUGAAGGGCUUGAGUGUGGGAGAGGAAAGUGGAAUUCCUGGUGUAGCGGUGAAAUGCGUAGAUAUCAGGAGGAACACCCGUGGCGAAGGCGGCUUUCUGGCCCACCACUGACGCUGAGACGCGAAAGCUAGGGGAGCGAACGGGAUUAGAUACCCCGGUAGUCCUAGCCGUAAACGAUGGAUACUAGGUGUAAGAGGUAUCGACCCCUCUUGUGCCGUAGCUAACGCAUUAAGUAUCCCGCCUGGGGAGUACGGCCGCAAGGUUGAA
rnacentral:rRNA from 1 species